rnacentral:rRNA from 1 species
ACGAACGCUGGCGGCAUGCCUAACACAUGCAAGUCGAACGGGGAAUUUAUUUCGGUAAAUUCCUAGUGGCGAACGGGUGAGUAACGCGUAGGCAACCUGCCCUUUAGAUGGGGACAACAUCCCGAAAGGGGUGCUAAUACCGAAUGUGACGGAACUUCCGCAUGGGAGCUCCGUGAAAGAUGGCCUCUACAAGUAAGCUAUCGCUAAAGGAUGGGCCUGCGUCUGAUUAGCUAGUUGGUGGGGUAACGGCUCACCAAGGCGACGAUCAGUAGCCGGUCUGAGAGGAUGAACGGCCACAUUGGGACUGAGACACGGCCCAGACUCCUACGGGAGGCAGCAGUGGGGAAUCUUCCGCAAUGGGCGAAAGCCUGACGGAGCAAUGCCGCGUGAGUGAAGAAGGUCUUCGGACCGUAAAGCUCUGUUGUUCAUGACGAACGUGCAGUUGGUGAAUAAUCGAUUGUAAUGACGGUAGUGAACGAGGAAGCCACGGCUAACUACGUGCCAGCAGCCGCGGUAAUACGUAGGUGGCGAGCGUUGUCCGGAAUUAUUGGGCGUAAAGAGCAUGUAGGCGGUUUUUUAAGUCUGGAGUGAAAAUGCGGGGCUCAACCCCGUAUGGCUUUGGAUACUGGAAGACUUGAGUGCAGGAGAGGAAAGGGGAAUUCCCAGUGUAGCGGUGAAAUGCGUAGAUAUUGGGAGGAACACCAGUGGCGAAGGCGCCUUUCUGGACUGUGUCUGACGCUGAGAUGCGAAAGCCAGGGUAGCGAACGGGAUUAGAUACCCCGAUAGUCCUGGCCGUAAACGAUGGGUACUAGGUGUAGGAGGUAUCGACCCCUUCUGUGCCGGAGUUAACGCAAUAAGUACCCCGCCUGGGGAGUACGGCCGCAAGGCUGAAACUCAAAGGAAUUGACGGGGGCCCGCACAAGCGGUGGAGUAUGUGGUUUAAUUCGACGCAACGCGAAGAACCUUACCAAGGCUUGACAUUGAAUGACCAUCUUAGAGAUAAGAUUUUCCCUUCGGGGACAUGAAAACAGGUGGUGCAUGGCUGUCGUCAGCUCGUGUCGUGAGAUGUUGGGUUAAGUCCCGCAACGAGCGCAACCCUUGUAUUUAGUUGCUACGCAAGAGCACUCUAGAUAGACUGCCGUGGACAACACGGAGGAAGGUGGGGAUGACGUCAAAUCAUCAUGCCCCUUAUGACCUGGGCUACACACGUACUACAAUGGCAAUCGAACAGAGGGAAGCGACUCAGCGAUGAGAAGCAGAUCCCGAAAAAUUGUCUCAGUUCGGAUUGCAGGCUGCAACCCGCCUGCAUGAAGUCGGAAUUGCUAGUAAUCGCGGAUCAGCAUGCCGCGGUGAAUACGUUCCCGGGCCUUGUACACACCGCCCGUCACACCAUGGGAGUCGGUAACACCCGAAGCCCGUAGCCUAACAGCAAUGAGGGCGCGGUCGAAGGUGGGAUUGAUGACUGGGGUG